rnacentral:rRNA from 1 species
GAUGAACGCUGGCGGCAUGCCUAAUACAUGCAAGUCGAGCGAACCGACGAGGAGCUUGCUCCUCUGACGUUUACGGCGGACGGAUCAGUCCCACGUGGAUAACCUAACUAUAAGACUCGGAUAACUUCAGGAAACCGGAGCUAAUACCGGCUACUAUUUUUAAUCGCAUGGUUAUAUACUGAAAGAGAGUUUUGCUUUCCAUUAUCUAUUUGUCCGCGCCGCAUUAGAUAGAUGGUAAGGUAACGACGUAGCAAGGCAACGAUGCGUAGCCGACCUGAGAGGGUGAGCGGCCACACUGGGACUGAGACACGGUCCAGACUCCUACGGGAGGCAGCAGUAGGGAAUCUUCCGCAAUGGGCGAAAGCCUGACGGAGCAACGCCGCGUGAGUGAUGAAGGUCUUCGGAUCGUAAGACUCUGUUAUUAGGGAAGAACAAAUGUGUAAGUAACUAUGCACGUCUUGACGGUACCUAAUCAGAAAGCCACGGCUAACUACGUG